CCAGGGGAAGGUCAGUCUCCAGGCUGAGGGCAGACUCUGUGUGGAAGAAGAGACUAAUGUAUGGCAUGUUAACAGAGAAGAGACAGGAGGUGCCAGUACUGAUGGGCCGGAUGGUUGAGAGGGGAGUGGAGAAGUCGAGAGGCACCAACCUUAUUAUCAGAAUCAUUCGGAUGGAAAAUUGAUGACCCUAAAGCAAAGAUAUACGCCCCAAGGACUAGAUAAACAGUGGAGCCAGAGGAAUGAGAUAAGAAACAUCUGUGGACACUCCCAGUAAUAACCCAAAAUACCUCGUGAUUAACAGGUCCUGUGUUACUCAGCAAGGUCCAUAGACUUGUAUGGGAACUUAUUACUAUAAAAGAAGGAUGUAUUGCCAUGGGACUUUGGGUUCGUGCUGCAUCAACAUCGGCGCUUCGGACACAUCCAACAGAGGCCCAGCUUCAGCUCCUUUCCUCCCUCGUGUGCAGUUUCAUCUGGCCACUGGAACUGACAGAGUAACACUAAGAACUGCACAUCCAUUCUCCAAAGCCAAAAACACCUGGAAGAGAGAAGACUGAGGUCCUGGGCUGGACACUUUGGAGUGCUUAUGGGAGUCCUCAAGUACCUAUCUCAGAUAGGCACCUUUAAUUGUCUCUUUCUUUGUUCGAGAAAUUUGGGUUGCUGCUAGUGUACCAAGAAACGACUAUAGUCAUGUCUGUCCUUCAGUUCAUCUGUGUGCAGUGUCAACUCCUGCUGUGAAUAGCAAGUGAGCUGAAAGCUGACAUCUGGAGAUCUGGUGAUGAGAAACACAGACUUUUUCUUGGGUGAUGACUAAAAUCCAUCAGCCGACCUCUUCCUGAAACUGGGUAUCCAGUUAGUAAGGAAGUGUACAUGCUUGUUUAUGUGAUUUAAAGAUUAUCAGAGUUACAGUGUGUGUCCUUGUUUUGUAACAGGAUCCAAUCGAGUUUGUGUAAAAUAGCUUUAAAACUGAACAAUUAAUUUGAUGUUAACUAAGAUUGUAGAACAUUGUGGAGUUCUCUAUGAUAAUUAAUGGUUUCAUACUGCUUUUCAAGUUCUAAGUGUAUAUAGACAUAAAAUGAGACCAAGUGUGCAAGCUUCUGUACUGCACUCUUUUUGUACAGUCUGCCAUAAAUGUAAGUGCGUGUUAAAUAGUUAAGAGUGUUAGUUAAAUCCUGGUGCUAAUAUAAUUAAUUGGGAAAUAACUGUAAAACUUUGACUACUAAUAUAGAUCCUUUGGACAGGAGAUCUUGGUGAAUUAACAUGUAUGUAAUUGAUCAAAAUGUCUUGUGAUCUAGCUUUGAAUUAUUUUCCCUCUGUUGUGUUAGCAACACUGCUGUUAGCAACACAGUAACACCUGAUGACACAAAUGAAGUCUUCUUUUGAUGUAUUGCUAAUCAAAACUCCUCUAAACAAGAUAUACACAAUCUCUAUCUUGGGAAGAGAUAAGUGUUUUCUAUUGUCAUUCUAUGAUUUGAUUCUGAAAACCAGGUAUCAACAAUUUUUCUAAUUAAUAUGAGCCAAAUUAGAGUGCCCUCUCUCAUGAUCCAGACAGGGAACAAGUAGUUCACUACUGUUUUUUAAUUCUUGUAACCUAUACUAUUAGUUGCUGCUGUUAAGGGUAAUUAAACUCUAUAAAACUAAAUGCAACUUUCAAGUCCUUUUCUUU